AGAAAUGGUACCCCUACAAUAACUUCUAAUUAUUGGUUAGAAAUUAAUUUUUCCUGUUUUUA
rnacentral:tRNA from 1 species